UCAAAAUGACUCUCGGCAACGGAUAUCUCGGCUCUCGCAUCUAUGAAGAACAUAGCAAAACGUGAUAUUUGGUGUGAAUUGCAGAAUCCCGUGAACCAUCGAGUUUUUGAACGCAAGUUGCGCCCGAAGCAGUUAGGCCGAGGUCAUCUCUGAAUGGGCGUCAC
rnacentral:rRNA from 1 species